UGCACAGUAUGGUACAUGCACUGAACAGUCUAUUCCUGUUGGUGUGUUCAAAAGACUGCAAUAGAAAUUUAAUUUCUGGUGUCAUUGGUCUUCUUGGCUUUGUGCAUGUUAAUGCUAGUAUUUCAAUUGAUACAAUA
ensembl:snoRNA